rnacentral:rRNA from 1 species
GUACACGCUGUGACUAGCAUAUCAAUAAGCGGAGGAAAAGAAACUAACAAGGAUUCCCUCAGUAACGGCGAGUGAAGCGGGAAGAGCUCAAAUUUGAAAUCUUGAAAGGUCACCUUUCACGAAUUGUAGUUUAAAGAAGUGUUUUCUGUUACGAUCGUAAUAUAAGUUCUUUGGAAUAGGACAUCACAGAGGGUGAGAAUCCCGUCUAUGAUUGCGAUUUGUAGCUUUGUGAUACACUUUCAAAGAGUCGGGUUGUUUGGGAAUGCAGCCCAAAACGGGAGGUAAAUUUCUUCUAAGGCUAAAUAUUGGCGAGAGACCGAUAGCGAACAAGUACCGUGAGGGAAAGAUGAAAAGAACUUUGAAAAGAGAGUUAAAUAGUACGUGAAAUUGUCAAAAGGGAAGCGUUUAACACCAGUGUUGUUUUCUGAAAAUCAACCUCUGUUAGCUUUAUGCAUGUUUGUUUAGACCUAAUCAGCUAUCUUUCAUGUUCUAUUGUUUGCAGUGGUGCACUUUUCAGUUUACAGGUCAACAUCAGUUUUUUUUACCGUAAAAAAGUUAAAGAAAGGUAGCUCAUGGCUCCGGUCGUGAGUGUUAUAGUCUUUUUCCUAUGCGGUAGGAGAGACUGAGGUCUGCAGUGUAGGCUAUUUGGCUAGAUACUCAGGUGCUAUGUGAUACCAUUUCAUAAACAACUUGUUGAUUAUGUUUUGUCUAUUGCAUACUCGCUUGUACUAUCAUACCUACGCUUAGGAUGUUGAGUAGCGACAUACGCAC